rnacentral:lncRNA from 1 species
GCUCAUUCCACGGUCCUGUUAUUUACGCAGUGACAGCCUAUGGAGGAUUACCUUUUUGCCCCCAAACAAAAUGAUUCUAAGACUCACUUAUAUUUUGUAUGAUUAUUUCAGAUAUUGCACCUAAUGUCGUAGAGCUUUAUGUUUAAAUAAGGAUCAUUUGCUUUGAGUUUUUAUAUGCCUUAGAGAAGAGAACAUAUACGGAGACUAGCCAGACAAAAGAAAGCUAGGAAGCGCUGCUGAGAUGAAGAGCAAAGUUCAUGAGAACAAACCAUGUGCAUCUGCCACAAACAAAGCAACAACCAGGGUUUGAGGUUGCAUGGGGGAUGUUUCUUAGAGAAAUUCUAAGUUGAAUCUCCCGAAACGUGUUAGUGACCUGGGUCCCAAGGAUAUUGAAAAAAAAAAAAAAUACACAAUGUUUGUAUUCCUGGGGAUGUUUUUAAUUAUGAACUGAUUCUGAACAUGGCAAGAUAUCUUACAAUAUGGCAAGUACGGAAAACCAUGGAUUCUGAAAGUUAAAAACUUAGUUGUCCUUGCAGUCUUUAUUUUAACUUGGACAGCAGUCUCAUGUAGAUUUUUUAAUAUUCUUAGCCAGCAUGAUUUCUUCACCUUUCUAGGUCUCUUUUUAUUUCUGACCAGCAACUUAGGGUGCAGAAUUUAAAGUAGAAAGACAAAGGGGAAGAGUCUUUUAAACUGUAUUUUCACACACAAAAAAACUUUUUUCACAAGAAGUUUGUCAUUUGCCCCAAUAUCAAACUGAAAAAUAUUCAUUCUUAUUUUGUUUUCUGUUUUAGAUGAAAAUUGCAUUUAAUCUAAGAAUUAUGCCAUUUUUGUUACUAGUGUCAAAACUUAGAGAACAUACUGUAUGGUGCCUUGCAAGAUAGAAAGGUUUUAGCAUGCACACCAAUAUAGGAUAUUAGGCCAUAGAUAAGCACACCUAAAUAACAAAUUAAUACCAGUCAUGGUACUGCUGCUGGAAUGAAGAAAAUGGAAUACGUUUCUUUUCUUUUUUUCUAUUGUUACAUAAUUGCCAUGUGGACUUGUUUAUGAUUAUUGUGUGGAGUAGCAUUCAAGAUUUAACUGCGACAAAAAUGACUUUAACUGUUGUAUUUAAGUUGCAUGUUAAUUAAUUGUACACCGUCACUUUAAGUACAUCAGAUCUAUGGUUUUGUGCCCAUAAUAAAAGUGGAAAAGCCUGUUGGAUGUCACACAUUGGUAUCACAGUUUAAACAGUGGUCAGCUGGUUUCCCAGUGCAGUCUACUGAGGUAAAGAUGGUGGCCUCUUUCCAUUUGAUUUAUGUACACUGGAAAAAGAAAAAACUUUAAUGUUAACUUUAUGUAAUAUUUAAGGUAUAAUGCAUUUUCUUUUUUUUACUGUUUAUGUAUAGUUUCCAAAAUAAAGAAUCUUGU